GGAGGCCUGCUCACCAUACACUGUAUUCUUAUGCUGUCAGUAGAUAGAGAGGAGACAGAGCAAACCGGCUCUCUAUACAGCUUAGCCCAGGCCAUUGUGCCUGAUCUGUAUUAUGAACGGGGAUACAUGG